rnacentral:lncRNA from 1 species
AUGGGCACAGGGUGGGCGCAGGGUGGCGCAGUACAGGCCCAGGACAGGCCCAGGGCAGGCGCAGGGUGGCGCAGGACAGGCCCAGGACAGGCACAGGGCAGGCGCAGGGUGGGCGCAGGACAGUUGCAGGACAGGCACAGGGCGGGCGUCUUGUCCAGGAGGGUCCUGACUGCAGAGCCAUCAGCUGGAGGCGCACACGGGGAAGCUGUGUUCAAACCCGCGCCUGCACCGGCAUCUUCACCCCACAGAGCCUCCUUUGGCUGCGACCCAAUUCCAUCGCUUACUAGUAAUGACUUCAACUCUGUAAACCUUGGUUUCCAGGAAACGGAAACUCUCCCUGGGCUGGGGGUGCCCCGAAGUUCACCAGGUGAGAGCGAGUGGAGCCACAGGCAGAGUGGUGCUGCCAGACAGGCUCUGUCCUUGGGGGUGGAUGUGGGAAUCGUCACACACACACCCAGGCACCCAGAUGUGCAGACACCUACACACACACACAGGCACCCAGAUGUGCAGACACCUACACACACACACACCCCCAGCCGCCCAGAUGUGCACACAGACACCUACACACACACACACACCCAGGCACCCAGAUAUGCACACAGACACCUACACACACACACACCCAGGCACCCAGAUGUGCAGACACCUACACACACACACACACCCAGGCACCCAGAUGUGCACACAGACACAUACACACACACACACACACACACACCAGGUGCCCAGAUUACACACAUACACACACACACACACACGCACCCUUGUGCUGGCUUCUGCAGACACACACACACACACACACACAGGUGCCCAGAUGUGCACACAGACACCUACACACACACACACACACCCCCAUGCGCCCAGAUGUGCACAGACACCUACACACACACACACACCCAGGCACCCAGAUGUGCACACAGACACCUACACACACACACACCCAGGUGCCCAGAUGUGCACAGACACCUACACACACACACACACACCCAGGCACCCAGAUGUGCAGACACCUACACACACAUACACACCCAGGGACCCAGAUGUGCAGACACCUCACACACACACACACAUACCCCAGGCACCCAGAUAUGCACACACAGACACACAGAACACACAGACACCUACAUACACACGCCAGCGCCUGCACACAUAUGCACACACACAAAACACCCAUGA